UCAAGCUGUACUUUAGGCAGCUGAUCAGGUUUUUAAUUCGUA
rnacentral:tRNA from 1 species